CUAUAAAAGUCCUUUCAGCCAAUUAUGGGCGUACAGACCGACAGACCUGCUCUGCUGGAAGGCCAUAUAACCAGCUCUCAAAUGUUCGCUGCACUCAGAGUACGUCCCUACGUGUGGUUGCCAUUAGAUGUGAUGGAAAAACUAGUUGUUCCAUUGUUGCGGGGAAUGCAGCUUUCACAGAUCCUUGUUUUGGAACUUAUAAAUACCUGACUGUGUCUUACAAGUGUGUUGCACCUCCACCACCAUCACCACGUGUACCAUCAAAGGUUGUAGUUACCUGUGAAUCACAAACUGCCUUCCUCAGCUGUGACCAGGGAAGUAUAAAAGUCCUUUCAGCCAAUUAUGGGCGUACAGACCGACAGACCUGCUCUGCUGGAAGGCCAUAUAACCAGCUCUCAAAUGUUCGCUGCACUCAGAGUACGUCCCUACGUGUGGUUGCCAUUAGAUGUGAUGGAAAAACUAGUUGUUCCAUUGUUGCGGGGAAUGCAGCUUUCACAGAUCCUUGUUUUGGAACUUAUAAAUACCUGACUGUGUCUUACAAGUGUGUUGCACCUCCACCACCAUCACCACGUGAGUUUUGCACCUAAAU